rnacentral:rRNA from 1 species
AGUGAACGCUGGCGGUAGGCCUAACACAUGCAAGUCGAACGGCAGCACAGUAAGAGCUUGCUCUUACGGGUGGCGAGUGGCGGACGGGUGAGGAAUACAUCGGAAUCUACUUUUUCGUGGGGGAUAACGUAGGGAAACUUACGCUAAUACCGCAUACGACCUACGGGUGAAAGCAGGGGAUCUUCGGACCUUGCGCGAUUGAAUGAGCCGAUGUCGGAUUAGCUAGUUGGCGGGGUAAAGGCCCACCAAGGCGACGAUCCGUAGCUGGUCUGAGAGGAUGAUCAGCCACAAUGGAAAUGAGGCACGGUCCCGAAUCCUAAGGGAGGCAGCAGUGGGGAAUAUUGGAACAUGGGCGCAAGCCUGAUCCAGCCAUACCGCGUGGGUGAAGAAGGCCUUCGGGUUGUAAAGCCCUUUUGUUGGGAAAGAAAAGCAGCAGGUUAAUACCCCGCUGUUCUGACGGUACCCAAAGAAUAAGCACCGGCUAACUUCGUG